GACGAACGCUGGCGGCGUGCUUAACACAUGCAAGUCGAGCGGUAAGGCCCUUUCGGGGGUACACGAGCGGCGAACGGGUGAGUAACGCUUAGGAAUCUACCUAGUAGUGGGGGAUAACCCGGGGAAACUCGGGCUAAUACCGCGUACGCCCUACGGGGGAAAGCGGGGGACUUUCGGGCCUCGCGCUAUUAGACGAGCCUAAGUCCGAUUAGCUAGUUGGUGGGGUAAUGGCCUACCAAGGCGACGAUCGGUAGCUGGUCUGAGAGGACGACCAGCCACACUGGGACUGAGACACGGCCCAGACUCCUACGGGAGGCAGCAGUGGGGAAUAUUGGACAAUGGGCGCAAGCCUGAUCCAGCGAUGCCGCGUGUGUGAAGAAGGCCUGCGGGUUGUAAAANCACUUUCAGUAGGGAAGAAAAGCCGAGUGCUAAUAUCACUC
rnacentral:rRNA from 1 species